ensembl:ncRNA F15A8.14 ncRNA
UAUUCGGAAAAGGACCUCUGUGUCUCGAUGUCUCUAGCUUUGCAUAUAUCUUUGCUCAUUGCAACUCACGUUACUCUACACUGUGCGUGUUGAAAUGCGCAAAAAGGGAAGAAAAGAAGCAAGCGA